AGAUUGAAAGAUUUUCCUUGUGAAAGGGUAUAUCUAUGCAAAUAUAAACAAUUACUUAAGAAUAUUUAAGAGUAUUUAAGAGUAUCUGAAAUCAUGCAUCCAUUAUGGAGUCUCAUGAUGCUAUCAAGUGACUGUGUAUGUUUGUGUUUAUGUAUAUGUGUGUAUUGGGGCGUGUGUGUGUGUGUGUGUGUGUGUGUGUGUGUGUGUGUGUGUACAAUCAUAUUGUAAAAUAUAGGAAAGGAAGUAUUGAGGGGCAGAUGAGGGAGACCAAUUGGCUAGUGGCAACCAUACCUGACUCAUCUCCACUUCCCAUCAGGACUUGGUUUCUUUACCACCUCUCAACACUCACACUCUCUGCUUGGGCAAGAAUCCAGGUACUUCCAGGACUGGGGAAAUCCUUUCAUCGUGUUUUCUUCUUAGGCAGACUUCAGGGUGGGGCUUGGGAGAGAGGAAGGAAUGUGGCGGAGGAGUGAGGGGGUUCUCCGAAUGCGGCAGCAUUUGGCAGGGGUGGAGAGUGGUUUAUGUAAAAGAGGGGUACAGAUAAAACUCUGGGGAUUCUGAAGGAAAGGCGACCAUAAGGACCACCAGGAAAGAUGUUCCAGAGAAGGUGACCUAGAAACUGGGCCUGAAAGAGUGUGUAGGAUUUCUUUACUUUUACUUUUUGGUAGGCGUGGGUGGAAGAACUUUCCUUCGGAAAAACAAACAAACAAACAAACAAACACCCAGUCCAGACAGGCACUGCACCACAACAUGUGUGUCUGAAGACAGGAGCAUGCUUUCUCUCAUCCACGGCUCUUCAUGAGAUCCAGAGGUUAACAGCACCAUGAACUCUUGCUAUGUUUUGGGUGGUGGCCUGCCCACUGGCCACCCACCCUCCCUCCCUCUCCUUUCUUCCUCCUUUCAUUUCCAUCAUCUCUAUGGUUACUUUACUCCCCCACUUUCAUUACACUGUGUCCUUGAUCUUGUUUUAUUAAGUGCUGAGAGCGACAUUCUCCUCCUUGGGCUGGCUGCCUUGUGACCAGGAUGGACGUUGUGUUGGUGACUUCAAAAGCUAGGUCAUGAAAUGUCAAGAAGCCUCCUUCCAGAACCAUUGGGACCCUCACCUUUGGAGGCUCAGCCACCAUGUGGGGAUAUCGGGAUCCAGGCUGGGGUGAAGGGCAGCAAUACCACCUGGAAAUGUGAAUGAAAGAUGCUCCUGAACUGAGUCUCCCUAGGUUGUCAAUCCUUUCUACAGCCACCUUAGGUGUCACUGAGCAGAGCAGGUCAACACCACUGCAUCCCUUUCAAAAUCUUGGCACAAAACAGUCGAGCGUAAUGAACUGGUUUAUCGAGCUAAACCCAGACAAUUGGUGCAUACAUCCGCAGCAACCAUCACAGCCAGCGCUGAGGCUCUUCUGGUUCAUGGCUUUCUGUUUGGCAGAGAAGGGAGGGUGGGAAUUAUCGACUCUUGACAAGUCCUGGUUGGCUGAUUUACACCUGCUGUCUCAUUCCAUUUCUCCUAGCACCGCGAGGUAAAUAAAUAUCAUUGGCCUAAUUGUACAGGGAACAAGACUCUGAGAGGUUAAGUGGCUUCUUCAGGGCCACAGACUUAGUACAUAAACCCAGUUUCUGCAGGGUUCUCACACCUCUCUACCAUUCAGUAGAGCCUCAGUGUGAAUCCCAGAAGGACUGUAAGUAGUCCACUCUGACCACCGCCCAGACCAAGAUCUGGGGAGGCAGAUGGAGGGAGGGGUACACUUCCUGCCUCCCAGAUACUUUAGUUUAAUCGGUUUAUUCUUUGUAUCAGUAAAAUCAUUAAUAUCUGCUACUGGUAAUGUCACAAGUGCCCCAAUUGGGGACUAUAAGUACUAUGAACCCCCCCCCCCCGGUGUAUUUAAAACAGAACUUUUUGAGUAGAACAGAAUGAGGUGCUAUUGAGUGACUGAAUCGUCAUGAAGGUCACAGCCAUUAUGUCUGAAUUAACAACCCCAAUCAUACCUCUACCCCAAAUAAACAGGCCUCAAAUGACCAUGCCUGGACAAAAGAGUGGCAGCCACAGUCCAUAUCUCUCUUGAGGAAAGCGUGAGUGAUGGGCCUAGUACACGGGCCAGGCUUCGUUUCUCAAAAGUAUGGUCCACCAACUAUGAAUGGCUGAUUGGUGGGGAGACAGGCUAAGAUGAUCACACUUCACCAUGACCAUUUUCACAGGUUAAUCUCACAGAAGAGUUGCUGCACACUCUCUAAUAAGGAGCUACAGAAACAGAGUGGCUGUGUGGACCAGAGUCUGUCCCGUUCUGGCCAGCUGGAGCAGCACUCUACAAAGGGGAGCGUGAGGCCGGAACCCCACAGACUGAAUGCCAGGCUGCUGUAGAAAUGGAUCAGUGUUGGGUGUCUGCCUGACCUUGGAGCUGAACAUGUGACUGGAACAAAAUGGGAAAUGGCGUCAGAAAAUUUGAUCUUCUGUUUCAUUUCCUCCUUUGGCACCCCUCCUUCCUUGACUCUGGGCUCCGUGACUGGCAUGAUCUUGGGUCACCAUUCAGCCUCUCCAAGCAUCUGUCUUGCAGAUGGCAGAUGGGGACAUUCUUAGUCCUCUAUGGAUCAUGAUGGACAUGCAAAGGAUGGUCAAUGAGGACCUCCAGUGCCCUUGCCUGGGGUUCUUGAGUGCCCAUCAAGGCUGAGUUUUCCAUCCAUCCUGCCAUUCAAACUCCUCCUGGGCACACAGUCUACUCUGAUCUCUCCACUGCUACUCCCCUCCUGUUUCCAUGAAGUCAAACAGUCCCAAAGCCUCUGGACUCAUUUGUGUGACCUUGAAACCAUCUAUCUGAGAAGAGAACAGGAAGUAGAGGAUGCCAUGGCAACAGAUAACCGAAGCCAGCAUGGAAUGGAGCUAAUGGGCAGGGCUGCUCUCAGUGAAUACUUCCCAGUAAGCCCACAAAUGGUCGGUCACCAUCUGUUCUGAUUGGCUGAUGUCAAUGUUCUCCUACUCAUUGAACUGACAAAAUCUUGGUCUGAUAUCUGUUGCCCACUGCUCAAUGCCAGAAAGUUUCAUAGACUUCUUCUCCCAACUUGGCUCACCAUAGAGAGGAGAAAUAUCGAAUCCAAGAGUCAAAUCCAAACCAAGCCAACUAAGAAAACAAGAAGAGAGGCCAAAAAGAAAAGGGAAGGAAUUAAAAGAGUAAAAAGCAAAGGAAAAAGAGAGGUGAGAGAUGAAAUCCUGAGUGACUGUGUUAUUGCCGAGAGCAUGGCCAUAGAAUGGCAAGGCUUUCUCCUGAGCCAGGCUCAGAGGAAUAGCAAGGCUUCUUCUGGUCAGAAGUCUGCCAUUGACAGUGUGUGAACAAAGUAUCCACAUCAGUUUCCUUCUCCAGGAUGACUGCAACCUGUCGCUGAGUUCCUACGGAGACCUCCUACUGAAAUGAGUUAACCAGCCUCAAACCGGCCUCACUCCUGCCUUAUAGAAUAAGCACACUGAGUUUCUAGGCUGCCCUUGGUGCAUCUCCAUGGAGCGCACAGGUCACCUCAUCCCAGCUUUUGGUGUACCUGUCUGUCAUUUCCUCAUUCCCUUUUGCCCCAGUUAGGUCAAGUACAGAUCAUGGCACACACGGCUUGAUGUCUCUGUUUUAACAGAGUCAGUAAAAGGAGCUAAAAUAUUCUUCUAGAAAAGGAAUCCUUCAACAUGUCCACAGACAAAAUUUCAGAAGUUUUAAAGAUAAAUAUUGUUCAUAUUUAAAAGCAAUAGGCGGAUUUAAAGGGAUUUACAUGCCCCUUAAAAAUGUUUCCUUUGCCUGGAUGGGGUAGGAUUAGGACACUGGAAGUCUCUGAUUAGGGAUCUAGAGAUAUGAACAAUUGGUCUAGAGAUCUAGGGCAUGCUGUAGUUUAUACCUCAAUGUCACCCAAAGACCCAUGUUCGGGCCUUUUUAAAAGCUUGGCAUAGCCCAUAGCGCCAGUAGGUGGUGGAAACUUUAGGAGGUAAGGCCCUGGGGCAGAGAAAAUAAUAUGUAUUAUUAUAUAUAAAUAUGUAAAUGACUGCCCUGUCUAUAUAGACAGUUUUGUUAAAAAGAUAAUAACCAUAGAUUUGUAUGGUCCAGUCAUUUGUCAGUACGAUCCAGGAUGACAAGAGGUGAUGCUUACACAUCAGCUUAUUAUUUAGUCAGUGCUUGAGAAAAUUCUGUGUCAUCUCCAGGCACCAUAGCUUUCUAUGCAGGCUCAAGAACAACUUCUCUUUCCAUUCACAAUGGGGCAUCUACCACACAUCCCUCCUCCAAAGUCUCAGGGAACAUUGCAGAAGAGGUGGGAACAGUAUGAGAGCGUUGCACACUCUCUGAGAGGGGUGUGGAAAGUUGACUUCCGGGCAGGACAUGACUACUGCCUUCUCUUACUCAAAGGAGUUGUGAUUACCUGCGGAAGACCGCGAUCUGUCAACAACUCAUCAUGGGAGGAGGAGGGGCUCACGAGUCCCCAUCCCUCUAUGAGGAUGUAUGAUGCAGAGAGAAGAGACAUUUUCUUUAGUGGUGGUAAGGUACACAUACUCCUGUGAUCAAACUCCCACCCACAGUCCUUUAAACAACCCUAAUGGAACACACACAUACACACACACACACACACACACACACACACACACACACACACACGGAGACAUGAAUGAAAGUCCAAAGGGUGGUUGGGAAGAGGAAGGGCAUCACUGCAGGUAAGAGGGAAACAAGAAAGGGUGAAUCUGAUCAAAAUCCAUUCCAUACACAUACGAAAACCUCACAACGAAGCUCCAUCGUUAUGUAUUGUUAACACAUGCUAAGGAAAACCCUUAAGAAGGAUGACGUCUCUAUGUUCUUCGGUGUCGAAUGUGCUGAGGAACAUCUUCCACGAAGGAGAGGUGAAAUUGCACUAUCACUCAUGGUGUAGCUCUCGGCACCUGUGUGUGUGUUGAAUCUCUCUUCAGAUCCCCGACAACUACUCAUUUAGUCUGGUCGUGUCAUAGCUCAUAGCACCCAGUCCUCCAUGGUGCUGCCCCGGAACAGUGGCCUCCAAGAACUUUAUUAUUGAUUGUCAUUUGGCUGCUCUGUUAAUGAUCACGAAUGCACCUGUGCAGAAAAAUGCAAAGGCAAAUUCAUUUUCUGCCCAUGUUGAGCUCACUAUCAACAUUUGAACUAUGAACUAUGAAUGUGGAAUAAUGUAUGUUUUCAACCACAUCUUCUCUGGGAUGCAGGUUAUAUCACUGCAUUCCUAGAGAUCUCUUUCAAUGUUGACCAUAGGAGAGGAUCCUCAGAGCCCAUCAAGAAGAGUUUUCACAUUGCUGUGAAAAGACCAGUCUGGGAAAAUGAUGAGGGGACAUGCAUUGUAAAGAUCCAUGGCCAUGCGCACUGUGGAGCAAGUCUUCAAACACCUUAGAGUUGGAGGCCACUCCUGACCACCUAAUGUGACAAGGAGCCUGUCAUAGGUGGGGAUGGGGGAAGAGUGGAUCAGAUUAAGAGCAGCAA